rnacentral:piRNA from 1 species
UGUAUUUCCAGUCAUGGAUAUGAU